rnacentral:misc_RNA from 1 species
GCCGUCACCGCCACAGCGUCUGGCUGCACUUCCUUGCCAUACCUCAAACAAAUUGCGUAAUUAUACACCCAUCCAAUCCUUCAACCGUAAGGAUUUUUCCAUUCGAUGUGAAUUCGAGAAUAGUCAAAGGUGGACGGUUGGUUGUGUUUCGGGCACUGAUCCAAUUCAUAUUAUUCUAAAACCUCCUUCCAUUCCAAUGACUUCAGCUGCUGUUUUAGGUUCAUCUGGGAAGAAUUCUAAGAGAGUUUGCUUAUUCUAUUGCAAUGAAAUGAAGGACCUUGCGGAGAGAAUCGCUUCCCAAUCCGACGCCAUUGAGCUUCGUAACAUCACUUGGAGGACUUUUGAAGAUGGAUUCCCCAACUUAUUCAUAUCUAACGCUCAUGGCAUCCGUGGACAGCAUGUAGCUUUCCUUGCUUCUUUUAAUUCUCCUGGAGUAAUUUUUGAGCAAUUAUCCGUCAUUUAUGCAUUGCCAAAGCUCUUUGUUUCCUCAUUCACACUUGUUCUUCCAUUUUUCCCGACGGGCACAUCUGAGCGUAUGGAGGAUGAAGGUGAUGUUGCCACAGCUUUUACACUUGCCAGGAUUUUGUCGAACACCCCAGUUCCUCGAGGAGGACCAACUAGUUUAGUUAUAUUUGAUAUCCAUGCAUUGCAGGAGAGAUUCUACUUCGGAGACAAUAUACUACCAUGCUUUGAGAGCGGGAUCCCAUUGCUUCUAAAUAGGCUACAACAACUCCCUGACUCUGACAAUAUAUCUAUAGCUUUUCCUGAUGAUGGUGCAUGGAAACGUUUUCACAAGCAGCUUCAGCAUUUUCCUAUGAUUGUCUGUGCUAAAGUUAGGGAAGGUGAUCAACGAAUUGUACGGAUUAAGGAGGGAGACCCUGCAGGACGUCAUGUUGUGAUAGUGGAUGAUCUUGUACAAUCAGGUGGCACCCUAACAGAAUGCCAGAAAGUGUUGGCUAAACAUGGAGCUCAAAAGAUAAGUGCUUAUGUAACCCACGGAAUAUUUCCAAACAGAUCAUGGCAGCGUUUUAGUCAUGACAAAGGAGGUAGUCCUGAGAAUGGAAUGACUUACUUCUGGAUCACAGAUUCAUGCCCUCAAACUGUGAAGGAGGUGAAAGACAAAAAAACCAUUUGAGGUUCUGAGCCUUGCCGCUCCCAUAGCAGCUGCACUUCAGAUUUAAUUGCAGAUUCUGUAUAUUGCCUGCAAUGUCUUUGGAUUCAAAAUCUAUAGAGAAAGCUAGAGAAGCCAGAGCUUCCUGCUAGCAUUAUUGAGAUGAGUAGAUUGAUGUCGAUAGUAUUUU